AUUUUACCACAGAUACAGUAUAUUUUUUAUGUGCAUUCUUCAGGAAUGUAUUUAUUGUGUAAAAACAGAUCUGUAAAUUUAUAAAUAUACUUAAUUCUAUUUUCCAAAUCAAAAUCAUAACUUAAAAAUUCAUAAUAAUAUCUGUUUGAGAUAGGCUUUGAUAACUUUUGAGAUGCAGUAACUCAACUUUGAUAUGAUUUACUUAUAUGGAGCAAAUAAAUGAUUAUCAAUUGAAGAAACUCAUAUAUGUAGGAUGAAUGGCUGGUAAGUAUGAGAGGAAGACCAAAAGAAAAAGUGAGAGAACAAAUGGAUGAGUAUCUGAGAAUGUAUAUGUUUAAGAGGAUGAAUGGCUGGUAAGUAUGAGAGGAAGACCAAAAGAAAAAGUGAGAGAACAAAUGGAUGAGUAUCUGAGAAUGUAUAUGUUUAAGAGGAUGAAUAAGAGGCAUACUUGGAUGAAGAUAAUGACUGCAGAGGAAGCUGAUAUAAUGUAUAAGAAUAAGGAUAUGUGGUUCUAUAUGAUCUAUGCUAUAUUUUAUGUUUUGUUUUCCUCUUCUCUAUUUUAAUAUUCCACCAAGGAGGACAUAGCUAUAAAGUUGUUGC
rnacentral:lncRNA from 1 species